AGCCAUCUUCCCAAGGAGGUGGUGCAGUCACAUAUCCAAAUCCUUUUACUCUUGUGUUUUCCUUUCCCAUCGGAGACCAAUUAAACCUCCCCUAAACCCCAUUUCUUCUUCCUCCAAUUCCUUUCACAAUCUUAUGUCAUUAUUUCCCUUCUAACCCAUUACAAGAUGCAAAUUUCUAUCCCCAUUUCGCCUCUCAGACCUCCUCAAGUUUUCCCAUUUCAUCAACCUCUUUUACACACACCCAAACCUCCGGGAGUUGCUCUCCAAAGUCAUCUGAAUCCUGUAAAUUCCUUCAGAGAUUCCGGUCUUUUAUCUACAAUCGGCGUCGAAGAAGAGUACCGGAGAGCACGGUCACAGGUUAAUCGUAAAGGGGUUGAUUUAGAAGGGUAUUCAAUCGAGGGAAUCUCAGUUGGUGGGCAAGAAACUUGUGUUAUCAUUCCCGAAUUCAAGUGUGCAUUUGAUAUUGGGAGGUGCCCAUCCCGUGCAAUUCAGCAAAACUUUGUAUUUAUCACUCACGCCCACCUUGAUCACAUUGGUGGGCUACCAAUGUAUGUAGCUAGUCGUGGCUUAUAUAGUUUAAGUCCUCCUACAGUAUUUUUGCCUGCUAGUAUUAAAGAAGAUGUGGAAAAACUACUUGAGAUUCACAGGAACAUGGGCCAGGUGGAGUUGGACGUUGAUUUGGUUGCACUAGAUGUGGGAGAAACAUAUGAAAUGCGUAAUAAUCUUGUCUGCAGAGCAUUUGAAACUCAUCAUGUGAUACCAAGCCAGGGUUAUGUCAUUUACUCAGUUAGAAAAAAAUUGAAGAAGCAAUACAUGCAUCUUAAGGGGAAACAGAUCGAGAAGCUAAAGAAAUCUGGAGUUGAGAUUACAGACACCAUAUUGUCUCCGGAGGUGGCCUUCACGGGUGAUACAACACCAGAUUUUAUGCUUGAUCCCCGUAAUGCCGAUGCAUUGAGGGCAAAAAUUCUUAUAACUGAGGCAACUUUUCUGGACGAAGCAGUUAGCAUAGAACAUGCACGGCAACAUGGUCACACUCACAUAUUUGAGAUCAUUGAAAAUGCACAGUGGAUUCGAAAUAAGGCUAUUCUUCUUACUCAUUUUUCAUCUCGAUACCAUAUAGAGGACAUCCGUAAAGCAGUAUCAAAGCUGCAGUCGAACUUGACGGCAAAAGUGGUUCCUCUCACUGAAGGAUUCAAGUCAGAGUAUUAGUGUAGGAUAUGAAUCGAUGGUUACAAAGUGUAAUUAUUUAACCUCAAAACAGAGAAACAGGAACAUAGAUGUCUAGAUUCAUUCAUGAAUUAGGAUUGGUAAGAUCCCACUCGUAAAGUCAAAGAACUUGAAUCAAAGCCAGCCAGGUUGAACACAAGAAAAAUAUCAAGGCAAUAGCUUUGGCUUUAUUUAGAGUUUGAUUGAUGCAAACGCUUCCUAAACCCCAACCACUACUUUUCUUCUGAUGGAGAUCACUUCUCCUUUUAUUAGCUUUAUGUUGUAAAGAAGACUGUUAAAACUAUUCCAUGAGUGUUUCUUAAGUAGUAAAAAUAAAGACACCCAAGUGGUGAAUUGUUUUAUACA